UACGUAGGGGGCGAGCGUUGUCCGAAGUUACUGGGCGUAAAGAGCUCGUAGGCGGUCUGUUGCGUCGGCUGUGAAAACCCGGGGCUCAACUCCGGGCCUGCAGCCGAUACGGGCAGACUAGAGUUCGGCAGGGGAGACUGGAAUUCCUGGUGUAGCGGUGAAAUGCGCAGAUAUCAGGAGGAACACCGGUGGCGAAGGCGGGUCUCUGGGCCGAUACUGACGCUGAGGAGCGAAAGCGUGGGGAGCGAACAGG
rnacentral:rRNA from 1 species